GGGGAUGUUCCGGUUUCGACAGGCGGGAACGACUUUUAAGGGCAGUGGUUUGGUCUCCUUAUCGACCGACACAAUUACAAGUGCCAAAAAACCUGUUAUGUUCCGUGCUCCGGCCAUGAUGGCCUGCGCUGCCUAAUUUAAUUAGGUUCAGCAUUUUUCUCAGAUCUUAGUAUCUGACGCACGACCCUCAUAUCAUCUCGCUGUUUCAUGAUAUGGGGAGUUUAGAGACAGACUCAUGUUGUAAGCUUCCUUUCCUUACGCAUGCGACAUCAGGAAGGAUCGGAUGAGAGUGGUUUGCUAUUGUGCCACCUUGUCUUAAUAUCAAACAAUAGAUAAACUGUAGUCCUUAUUAGAGAUUCCUGUUUGGACGCGGGUUCGACUCCCGUCAUCUCCACCA
rnacentral:tmRNA from 1 species